AACAGAAAGUAAAAUCCCUUUUUUCAGGAGGGUCCUAAACAGAAAGUAAAGUCCCAUUUUUCAGGAGGGUCCUGAACAGAAAGUAAAGUCCCAUUUUUUAUGGAGGGUCCUGAACAAUAGUAAAAUCCCUUGGACAUGCUUUCCAAUGAUAGCAAAAUUUUUCCCCUGUUUCAUCAAAGAAAAAUUUUUCAGUUGAAAACUUAGUGGUGGUUUGCAGCACUUGGCUUUCUAGGCAUCUGCUCCAGCAGUUGUUCCUCUUAUCUUUGUUUCAAAUUGCUGACACUUGCCCCUGUCUUGUUGCAUUAUUGACCCAGUGUCUAGCGUAAAGUUUGCAUACUUGAUUCCUUGCCUAGUGAAUGUGGUACGCACCAUCUGGAAAAAUACUGUUAUUAGUAUAUGCGCGGAUUUUUUGUAGUUGUUAUUGGUUCGGGUGAAAUCCUGUGCUAUUCCAUUUCGUUUGAUGAUUCUAUGCAUCCCGAGUCUAUGAGUCUAUGGGAGAUAUCCUCUCUACUAUGUCCAAGGCAGGGGUAUGGGCUCCAUACAUCUUAGCAGGUUUAAAUUUUGAAUCGAAAAGAACCUUUCUUUUGAAAUCCAACUAAUAAGUUAUUUGUUUCCUCUUAUCCAGAUGGUUAAUUAGAUUUGCAAUUUUAUUUAUCCGCCUGCACUAACAAUCAAAAGCAAAAGAGAGUUUCAUUCUUGAUGAUGCACGGUUCUGUCAGAAUUGAUUUUCUUGCGCCUGCUUAUGAUUUUGAACUUUAUUGAAAUCCUUGUGAUGCUGCUUUAAUAUCUCUCGACUUCACCCGUGUUGAGGUUCUUCACAACGAAGCAUUUUAUAGUAAUACGUCGCUAUGUUUAAGGGCUGAAUGUCUAAUUGGUUGCAUUUUAUGAAUGAAAUGAUGCUCUGGGAUUUUGCCUUCCUAUAUACAAAUCUGGUGCAUUCUCAUAUAUAAAAUUGCUAUGCUGAUUGUAUUUUAUAAACUGGUGUGUUGGGUUCUAGGAUUUGCUUGCAUUCGAUGCAUUUUAUGAAUGAAUUAGUAUUCUGAGAUACUGGAGGGUUCUUGUUGUUUCAGGUUGUAAUCUGAAGAAAUUUUCUUUUUUUUUUACUCCAAUUUUAUUUUUGUAAGUUGAUGUAAAGCAGCUUUUUAGAAUAAGAAAAUAUUUUUGAAACUUUCUUUUGUAUGAUUUUGACUUAGUUUUAAAGAAAGUCUUUCUAUUUUGCUUUCAGUUUUUUGUUAUGUCACAUUGUGAUCUGAUGAAUAUAUAUAAAUUAUUUCACAUUGGGUUUAAAGCUUUGUUUGAGGGGUUGAGUAAUGUCUAUGGUUUUCGAUAGGAAGUUUUAGUAUUAUCUCGUGGUGGUAGUAUUGUCUUGUGGUUAGUGGUGUUAGCUUAUUUUGUAUAUUACACUAGUUUAUACAUAAUUAUGUUUUUGCGUUUGUCGUAAGUGUAGUUUGUUGCCCAUUUUAGCAUGGUUAUGCUUCAGGAGAAUGAUCUCUUUUAGAUCAAAUAGUUUGUUUACCUAAACAAAUUCAUCCUUUAUUCCUCGUAGUUUUCUCUUGCAUUAUUUCAUUCAUAAUCUCUCUUUAGCAUACUUUUCGGGACCAUUCGCGGCAUUUAGAAGAUUUUUUUUACUUUACUUGCUAAGAAUUAUUUUCGUUUUUUUUUUAUUGUGCAUGAGUAUGCUUAAAAAUAGCAGAAAUCAUAUAGCUUGUUAAUCUGUGACAUUUUGCACAUAUACUAAUUCCUUUUUAUUUUCUUUGCAUGUGGACGCAUUUUAUGUCCCAAAUGGACUAUUUUCAUUUUGCAUUAUCGAUAUGGGCUGUUGAGGCCCAUUAUUCUCGAGUCAAUUUUGAAGUUCCCCCUUAAAAAUAAUUGCCUGGCAUAUGGAUGCAAGAAGUCAAAAGAGGAAUAAUGGGUUAAAAUCCCAUUCUUGAAGCAACGAUGAGCCCCGAGCCUCAUUUCUAUUUCCUUGUUUGUUAUCGUUAUUCAUUUAUCGUUGUCGUAUUUAUUUUCUUAUUUGUUUAGUUAUUCAUUUAAGCCUCGAAGCCAAAGUUGUACUUAAUACAGGUGGAGAAUAACUCGAGCAAAAAAGGCUCGAAAACAUAGAAUUAGGACAGAUUAUGGGUGAAAAAUCCAACUAGUUUAGGACAGGGUCAACGAUUUGGGCUUAAAGCCUAAAUCAUUACUUCCCUCCUUUUCCCUUUCCCCUUUUUCUGUUAUUUGCCUGCUUAUGUGCUCCAUUUCCGAAGCUAAUUAAAUUCCUAACUAAGUCGCUACAAAACUAGUUUUGCAAAAAACUUUUCCCUAAUCGAUCACUUUUCAACAAAUCAAUCUUUUACAAGUCAAUCAAAAGACGAUUUUCAAACAGUCUGGAUAACCGCAAGUUAGCGGACGUUUUAGGUUCCUAAUACCUUCUUAAAACGUUAAUAGGAGCCACUUAUCUAGAAUCUCUAACUUAAAACAAUUUUUCUGGUUUGAAUCCUUUGAAGUAAAAUAAAAAGUUUUCUUAAUUCCUUUUCAAAUUUAAGUGGUGACUCUGACAAGUCAAAAUUUCAUCAAACCAAUUCUGAUGCUCAGGGUCAUAGUUGUAGACAUGUAAUUUUGUCCCUCCUCGAAAGUAUUUUUUUAUUUUUUACUUUAUCCUAUCGUGUAUCCUCAACCAUCCAAUCAUACCCUACAAAAUACAAAAAUAACAAACUUUGUCUCAUUCUAAUAUUCCAACAACCCACCCAAUCAAAAAUGGACACCUAAACAUUACCCCUCCAAUUAAAAAAACAAUAGCCUACCCCUCACCUAACCACCCUCACCAACCCAUACCCAUACCCAUUUGACCCCCCUCCCUUUCACAUUUCUUGACCACAAAGGAAAAGAAAAGGACUACAGGACAAAAGCUCCAUGACCAUUUUUGUUUUUCUUUCUUAAAAAAUCAAUACACACCAUAGGACCCGUAGGGAAUGGCAUAAACAAUAUACUCCCAAUUAACCAUAUCAAUAGGGGAAUAGAAGGGCCCACCAUUAUUCAGAUCCCAAUAGUGAUACCCUUGACAAUCUUUCCAGGGAAAAGGGAUAGAGAGAGAGAAUAAGAGGGACCCCAUUUUUUUUUCCCUUUCUUCUCCAGAAAAAUGCAUAGUACAUUCACCACAAUUCCAUUUCACGAAUACCUUUCAUUCUUCAAUUCAAUUGACAGAUAUAGACACUACUCACACCAUGAUACCUCAAUAUGAAAAGAGAAUCCACUCACACCCAGAUACCACACUUGUAAUAGGCAGCGACGAACCCAUAUAAUCUCACCCUUCCAUCGACACCCAAACUAAUAAAAGAGUCGGAAAAUGGGGAUUGAGAGCGGAAAAGGAAAUGAAUAAAUAUAGAGGAGAUUGAGAGUGAGAGACACGAGAGAGAUAGUGAGAACAGAAGAGAGACUGUUUCAUCAUCGGAUCCAUUUUCUUGGUGACGGGUCUCCAAAAAACACCUGAAAAAAAUCGUUUAAAUCCAUUAAAAAGAACCAAAUUAGCAAUCAAAAUUAUUGAUGGCACUACGAAUCGGGUUCGGGUAACGGAUGUCAUUGAUUCUCAUUGUGAAGAUCGAAAUAGGCUCGGUUUAGUCGUUGGUAUUUGAUACGAGAAGUUGGGUUUGUUCAAGUUACGGGUUUGACGUUGAGGUUCCAGUUGGGUCGAGGUUCCGUUGCCUGUGGAUUCUAAUCCAUUACUGAUUUUGGAAUAAAAUGAACGAUUGAGGAGCCCGCAUGGAGAACAGGGUGAAGAAAUGAAAAGUCAAGCAACAAAGUGAAGAAUUUGAAAGUCAAGCAACAAGGUGAAAAUUUGAAAGUUAACAAAUUGAUGAAAUAGCAAGUCAGGAGCCCGCCUGAAGAACAGGGUGAUAAAAUUGCAAGUCAGAAGUCCGCCUGAAGAACAGGGUGAUGAAAUUGUAAGACAUGAGCCCACCUGAAGAACACAGUGAUGAAAUGGCAAGUCAAGAGCCCGCUCGAAGCACAAGGCUAAUUAAUGGAAAGUUCUUUCUUGGUCAUGAUCUUCUUCUUUAUUCACUAAAAAAAUCUCCCUAAGAACAAUCACCAUUGACAGAACCCUUUUCAAGAAACUUCCAUCGUCACUCUCACAUGCAUCUCUCUCACGACACACACAUACACUCGUUAGAAAAAGAAUGAGGAAAAGUAAAUGAAUCCGGUCAACCUCAAGCUUUCCAGCUACUGAUUCGCCAGAAUCGGCUACUAUUUCACCAGAUUCGAACACAGCUGACCCAUAGCUCGCACCCCACAAUGUAGAAAAACUCAAAUCAGUCGUCAAGCUAGCUGAAAUUAGCCCUCUCAACUUGAUUCCGGUGAUAGGCCCAUCGGGUUUCGAACUCACCGACCUUCUUUGUCUUAAAAUCGAUUCGUUUUUAGUGGUUUAAGUGCAGGUCCUGUUUACUCUAUUGCAACUUCGUUGUGGGCUUGUCGAUCCUCGUGUUGAUUUUAGAAACUUGAUUACUGUUUGGUUUCGGAGUUUCAAAUUGGAGUUCGAAGGUUAUCAGGUUGGAGUUGGAUCAUAGUCGAGAUUUUGUGGUAUUCUUUGAGGUUCUGGAAUGUCUUUAUUCUCUUCUUAAUCAAUCGAGAACAUUCGGAAGGUCCAUCUCUAUAACCCUUGUUCCUUAUUUCAUCUUUAUUUGGUAUAAUGAUGUUGUGAUUAUGCGUAUGGUAAGUAUGAUUGUUGGAUUUGGUUGAUGUCAUGAUUAUGUACUAAACGGUAUGAUUACGGUGAUAUGUGAAAUAAAUGGGAGUAAUUUAAUG